rnacentral:lncRNA from 1 species
UCUGCCACAGCCUCCUGGAGCGAGAAUAUAAGCAUGAGCCACACCCAUCCUUUCUGGUGAGACCAAAAGUAGGGCUGUUUCUCCUCGUCACUAUCAUGGGCUAACUUCCACCCCUCCUCUCAGUAUUCUAUGGACACUUUUUUUUUUUUAAUAGUAAUUUAUGGGAACAUUCUAAAGGAGGCGGUGAGAAAGAAUGGCUGCCUGGCCCCUCCCUGCGUUUGUCCCCAGUGUCUUACUUUCCAGGCUGUCACACAGCCCCUAGGGACCUUACAUGUUUGCUACCUCCACUGUGUUGCACUAAGCCAUCUGUAACCAGCAGUGGCUGCCUUCUCUAGGCUGUGGGUCAAAAACGCACAAGGUACUAAUUACUGCCCAGCCCUGGGAGACCAGGAGAUUUGCAAUAGAUAGUGAGUUGGGCUUAACUGUCGUGUGUACAUCUAUGCCCUGUCGUUUUGUAAUAACUUACUGUAAAUGCAUGAAGCACUGGUUUAAGCCUAAGUAAAGACUGCCUGAAACC